AUUGAACGCUGGCGGCAUGCCUUACACAUGCAAGUCGAACGGCAGCACGGGAGCAAUCCUGGUGGCGAGUGGCGAACGGGUGAGUAAUAUAUCGGAACGUGCCCAGUCGUGGGGGAUAACGUAGCGAAAGCUACGCUAAUACCGCAUACGAUCUAUGGAUGAAAGCGGGGGAUCGCAAGACCUUGCGCUGAUUGAGCGGCCGAUAUCAGAUUAGCUAGUUGGUGAGGUAAAGGCUCACCAAGGCGACGAUCUGUAGCGGGUCUGAGGGGAUGAUCCGCCACACUGGAACUGAGACACGGUCCAGACUCCUACGGGAGGCAGCAGUGGGGAAUUUUGGACAAUGGGCGCAAGCCUGAUCCAGCCAUGCCGCGUGAGUGAAGAAGGCCUCGGUUGUAA
rnacentral:rRNA from 1 species